rnacentral:SRP_RNA from 2 species
UGGUAAGUCUUAUACGGCCAGCUCCCGAUGAAUCCCCCAGGACAGGAAUGUAGCAAGGGCGUUUGGUUGUAGCGGUGCGAUGUGAGUAACUUACCAGUU